rnacentral:rRNA from 1 species
AUUGAACGCUGGCGGCAGGCCUAACACAUGCAAGUCGAGCGGAUGAAGGGAGCUUGCUCCUGGAUUCAGCGGCGGACGGGUGAGUAAUGCCUAGGAAUCUGCCUGGUAGUGGGGGAUAACGUCCGGAAACGGGCGCUAAUACCGCAUACGUCCUGAGGGAGAAAGUGGGGGAUCUUCGGACCUCACGCUACCAGAUGAGCCUAGGUCGGAUUAGCUAGUUGGUGGGGUAAAGGCCUACCAAGGCGACGAUCCGUAACUGGUCUGAGAGGAUGACCAGUCACACUGGAACUGAGACACGGUCCAGACUCCUACGGGAGACAGCAGUGGGGAAUAUUGGACAAUGGGCGAAAGCCUGAUCCAGCCAUGCCGCGUGUGUGAAGAAGGUCUUCGGAUUGUAAAGCACUUUAAGUUGGGAGGAAGGGCAGUAAGUUAAUACCUUGCUGUUUUGACGUUACCAACAGAAUAAGCACCGGCUAACUUCGUG